GAGAAUAAUCCCCGAUAGAUCACAGUGCCUGGAAUGGCCUGUGGUUCAAAUGAUUUAUCGCCGUAGGAUGGGACUGCGGCCUAUCAGCUAGUUGGUGAGGUAAUGGCCCACCAAGGCUAUAACAGGUACGGGCUCUGAGAGGAGGGGCCCGGAGAUGGGUACUGAGACACGGACCCAGGCCCUAUGGGGCGCAGCAGGCGAGAAACCUUUGCAAUGUGCGAAAGCACGACAAGGUUAAUCCGAGUGUCUCCUGCUAAAGGAGUCUUUUGUCAGUCGUAGAACCACUGGUGAAUAAGGGGUGGGCAAGUUCUGGUGUCAGCCGCCGCGGUAAAACCAGCACCUCGAGUGGUCAGGAGGUUUAUUGGGCCUAAAGCAUCCGUAGCCGGCUGUCUAAGUUUUCGGUUAAAUCUAUGCGCUUAACGUAUAGGCCGCCGAAAAUACUGGACAGCUAGGGAGUGGGAGAGGUACACGGUACUCGAUAGGAAGGGGUAAAAUCCUUUGAUCUAUUGAUGACCACCUGUGGCGAAGGCGGUGUACCAGAACACGUUCGACGGUGAGGGAUGAAAGCUGGGGGAGCAAACCGGAUUAGAUACCCGGGUAGUCCCAGCUGUAAACGAUGCAGA
rnacentral:rRNA from 1 species